UAAAGUUGCAUGGUCGCGGCAAGGGCCAUCGAACCACCGCGAGUGGAGCCUCACACAUGCACGGGUCAGUGGACUGGUAGCGGGAGAACAGAGAGCGGACGUCGGUGAGAUCACUGCGGCGACGUCAUCUGAGCUGGGAUCCGGACAUCGAAAGGGCGGGAGAAUCCGUGCCCCUGAUUGGACGGGAGGCCAAGGGUCGGAAAGAGCAAAAAUUCCUUUGUUGUAGGUAGGAUAAAAAGGAAGGGGAUUGGGGUAGCAAGGGGGUUCUUCUUCUGGUUCAAGAUCAUCGCGGUUCCGGGAGCAGGAGAGUCAGCCAUCCGAGACGUCCGUGAGACGUACUCCAGCAUCGGCAGGCUCGUCGCCUCAUUCCCUCACAACGAGAGACUAUUUCAGAAGCGCGACCAACCACAGACAAGCGGGAGAGGAAACAGCAAAUUACCCCAAGCUUUGCGGUCCUCUUCAUACGAAGAAGACUUCGACGAAUUAAAGAAUGUUUACAAGUGGGGAAAAAAAUCGCAGUACCCAGAGAAAACCCACUCGUGCGAGGGGGCAACGUUGGAGUCCGUACAGAUGGAAGGCGUGGAGUCCACAUUCGAUGCACUGCCAUCUCCUCGCAAGGCAGGAUGGCGCUGUGGUUCGCGUAGUAUGAUGAGCCAGGUUACCUGAGUUCGAUUCCCACUCAUUCCCAAUAACAGUUACGAAUAUGUGAACUGGUUCGAGUUCGUCUCAGCCCUUUUUUGAGUUGUUGAUGCAGUGUGUAAAUUGAAGGCGCGGUAUACAAGCAGUCCCCGACUUACGAACAUAUGACUGACGAACAUCCACCCUUACGAUUGAACCGCCAGUUGCUGUUGUUUUAAACAUCUGACUUGCGAACGUUCGCACGUACUCGCGAAUUAAACAGCGGAACUCCUUUGUUUGGCAGAGCAAUCA